CCAUAGGUAGAGAUGCUUCUGUAAUUACAUGCAACGCACAUCCUGCUCCUGUAAAUUCCAAUUAGCAAAAGCAAAGAGGCAGUUUGAUGGUCAGAAAGCACAUGGGCAGCACCACGCAGGUGGCUGACACUGGGAUUGGAAGCAGCCUGGUGCUGUUAGGAUAACCCAUGGCCUGUGCUCUGCUGAGGGAGCCUAUUUAUAACCUGCUGCAGGACUCUCCUUCAGUAGAGCCUGUUGAUCCCCUGGUACAGCAAGACAGGAACAAUACUGUGAUAGCGUGGGGAAUGUGCCCCUGUCAGGACAAGAAUUUUUCUUUGUUUUAUGAGCAUCAUUUAUGACCCUGACCUUCAAUGCAGGGAAAAGUAUCAAUUUUAUGCUGCUGAUAAAGAAGGGGAGACAAGGCAAACAUGAGAAAAUUUCAACUAGAUGAUGAAGAAAAAUGAUAGCACUCCAAUGCUGUAAAAGUAAAGAGGCUUUUAACAAUUUCAGAAUGGAAAGAGAAGGGAAUCCUAAAGAGAUGUUAGAGAUGAUCAAUUCAGACUUCUCACCAUUUGCCUGUCAUCCAUCUGUCCUGGUCCCCAGAGCGUGCUGUUUCUUAUUGAUGGAAUGGCCUGUGCUCCUUCAGUGAUCUACAG
rnacentral:lncRNA from 1 species